GACGAACGCUGGCGGCGUGCCUAAUACAUGCAAGUAGAACGCACAGUUUAUACCGUAGCUUGCUACACCAUAAACUGUGAGUUGCGAACGGGUGAGUAACGCGUAGGUAACCUGCCUGGUAGCGGGGGAUAACUAUUGGAAACGAUAGCUAAUACCGCAUAAUAUUAAUUAUUGCAUGAUAAUUGAUUGAAAGAUGCAAUUGCAUCACUACCAGAUGGACCUGCGUUGUAUUAGCUAGUAGGUGAGGUAACGGCUCACCUAGGCGACGAUACAUAGCCGACCUGAGAGGGGGGUCGGCCACACUGGGACUGAGACACGGCCCAGACUCCUACGGGAGGCAGCAGUAGGGAAUCUUCGGCAAUAGACGCAAGUCUGACCGAGCAACGCCGCGUGAGUGAAGAAGGUUUUCGGAUCGUAAAGCUCUGUUGUAAGAGAAGAACGGGUGUGAGAGUGGAAAGUUCACACUGUGACGGUAUCUUACCAGAAAGGGACGGCUAACUACGUG
rnacentral:rRNA from 1 species